UACGGGGGGGACAAGCGUUGUUCGGAUUUACUGGGCGUAAAGGGCGCGCAGGCGGGCCAUCAAGUCGGAUGUGAAACCGGUCGGCUUAACCGAUCGCCUGCAUCCGAUACUGUUGGUCUUGAGUACGGGAGAGGAGAGUGGAAUUCCAGGUGUAGCGGUGAAAUGCGUAGAUAUCUGGAAGAACACCGGUUGCGAAGGCGGCUCUCUGGACCGAUACUGACGCUCAAGCGCGAAGGCUUGGGGAGCAAACAGG
rnacentral:rRNA from 1 species